rnacentral:misc_RNA from 1 species
UCGCCCGUGAGGGCACAAUCGGAAGGAAGUCGGCGGCAAAGCUUCGGUCUGAGGAACACGAACUACAUAUAAGGCGUAUGUCCGCUGGGCGAGUUUUCAUGGCAAAUAAAAGCAUCUGGCGGUUAAUGAAUAGAGGCUUAACUC